ACGUUUCAUUCGCCGCCUAGAGUUCAUUUUACGGCGUCAUUCUAUGGCGUCUGUCACAAACACAUUCGCUCUCGUGUUCGAAAGACUUUCUGUACAGACUUUUUCGUCUUUGAUUCUUUAGUCCAAAUAUGAGGGCUAAGUGGCGUAAGAAGCGUAUGCGCAGGUUGAAGCGCAAGAGGAGGAAGAUGCGUGCAAGAUCCAAGUAAACAUUAUUGCCCAAACGCAUGUCAUUUUUUGGUAAAAUAAUUAUGAUACUGUCGCUUUUUAUUGAUUUAUCAUUAAACGCUAAAUAUUCUACAUAAAAA